GACAGAGGGUGCAAACGUUGUUCGGAAUUAUUGGGCGUAAAGAGCUCGUAGGCGGUGUGUCGCGUCGGCCGUGAAAACCUGCAGCUUAACUGUGGGCUUGCGGUCGAUACGGGCAUCACUGGAGUUCGGCAGGGGAGACUGGAAUUCCUGGUGUAGCGGUGAAAUGCGCAGAUAUCAGGAGGAACACCGGUGGCGAAGGCGGGUCUCGUGGGCCGAUGAUUGACGCUGAGGAGCGAAAGCGUGGGGAGCGAACAGG
rnacentral:rRNA from 1 species